UACUUUGAUGGCGACCGGCAAACGGGUGCGGAACACGUACACAACCUUCCUUUUAGUGGGGAAUAGCCCAGAGAAAUUUGGAUUAAUACCCCGUAACAUAACGAUGUGGCAUCACAUUGUUAUUAUAGCUUCGGCGCUAGAUGAUGGGUGUGCGUAUGAUUAGAUAGUUGGCGAGGUAACGGCUCACCAAGUCUACGAUCAUUAGCUGAUGUGAGAGCAUGAUCAGCCACACGGGCACUGAGACACGGGCCCGACUCCUACGGGAGGCAGCAGUAAGGAAUAUUGGUCAAUGGACGCAAGUCUGAACCAGCUAUGCCGCGUGAAGGAUUAAGGUCCUCUGGAUUGUAAACUUCUUUUAUCUGGGACGAAAAAAGGUCUUUCUAGAUCACUUGACGGUACCAGAUGAAUAAGCACCGGCUAACUCCGUGCCAGCAGCCGCGGCAAUACGGAGGGUGCAAGCGUUAUCCGGAUUCACUGGGUUUAAAGGGUGCGUAGGCGGGC
rnacentral:rRNA from 1 species